CGCACUCAGGAACAGGCUCACAACUAAGCCAGAAAACCUAAUAAUUAAAGCUUGUGUUUUCGUUUCCUUCUCCUCAAAAGCUCCGCCAAGAGCCGAUUGCUAGCUCUUUCUAUUACUAUGGCCAAUACCCUUUCAAAAUCCUUUUUUCAUCCCCUCUUUUUCUUCAUUUUUCUGCUCUUUUCAACUCUUGCUGCAGCAAAAUCUAAUAGUUUUUCAAGAAUCUUAUCUCCGGCAACACUAGGCCUCAAGAAAGAGAAACUAACCCACCUUCGCUUCUACUUCCACGACAUAGUUAGCGGGCGAAACGCUACUGCCGUUCCAGUUGCCGAAGCAGCCACGACUAAGACCUACUUAUCGGCAUUUGGACUGCUGACAAUGAUGGACGACCCCUUGACCGUUAAGCCCCUCCGCAGUUCCAAACUUGUAGGAAAAGCACAAGGGAUGUACGCGUCAGCAUCACAAACAGAACUCAGUUUUUUAAUGGUCUUGAACUUCGCUUUCACGGAAGGGAAAUACAACGGUAGCAACCUUAGUGUUUUAGGAAGGAACAGUGUAUUUUCCGGAGUCAGAGAGAUGCCGAUCGUGGGUGGAAGCGGACUUUUCCGGUUUGCUCGUGGCUACGCUCAGGCAAAGACUCGUGAAAUUGACCUGAAAACUGGGGAUGCAGUGGUGGAGUAUAACGUGUAUGUGUUCCAUUAUUGAGUGAGUGUUUUCAUUGUCAUUUCUUUCAUUUUCUUAAGGCUAGUGUUUAUUUGUUUUCUUGUACCAAGAAACUGCUACUGGGUGUGUCUGUAUGUGUGAGUAUACGUAUAAAAGUUCCAUGGUAGGUAUAAUUUGUCAAUUAAGAAGUAAAAAAUGACAAAAUAAAUAAAUAAAUAAAUA
rnacentral:misc_RNA from 1 species